AUUGAACGCUGGCGGCAGGCUUAACACAUGCAAGUCGAGCGUGCGGCGCACGGGUGAGUAAUGUCUGGGAAACUGCCUGAUGGAGGGGAUUAACUAUUGGAACCGGUAGCUAUUACCGCUUACCAUCAGGUGUGCCCCGAGGGGAUUAGCUAGUAGGUGGGGUAAUGGCUCACCUAGGCGACGAUCCCUAGCUGGUCUGAGAGGAUGACCGGCCACAGUGGAACUGAGACACGGUCCAGACUCCUACGGGAGGCAGCAGUGGGGAAUAUUGCACAAUGGGCGCAAGCCUGAUGCAGCCAUGCCGCGUGUGUGAAGAAGGCCUUAGGGUUGUAAAGUACUUUCAGCGGGGAGGCGUUACCCGCAGAAGAAGCACCGGCUAACUCCGUGCCAGCAGCCGCGGUAAUUC
rnacentral:rRNA from 1 species